rnacentral:lncRNA from 1 species
UGGAUGAUGAUUCUUUUACCAUCAAUAAUUCUGUUGGGACACAUUUAAGGAAUUGGAUAAAUGUCAAUCAUUUAGUACACAAAUCUUCUUCUCAUUGUUCAUAGUCUUCUUCACACUGUUCGUUUGUUAGUUAUGCCCCGUUCUGUUCCAUAUAUCACAUAAUUUACCUGAACAGCUUCUCAGUUCAUUGAAUUCUGAUAUGAUAUGCUCUGUUUUUUCUCACCUACGUAGGCCAUCUUG